CCUACGGGUGGCAGCAGUGGGGAAUAUUGGACAAUGGGGGCAACCCUGAUCCAGCGACGCCGCGUGUGUGAAGAAGGCCUGCGGGUUGUAAAGCACUUUUGUUGGGGAUGAAAAGCUUCAGGCUAAUAUCCUGGGGUCUUGACCUAACCCAAAGAAAAAGCACCGGCUAACUCUGUGCCAGCAGCCGCGGUAAUACAGAGGGUGCGAGCGUUAAUCGGAAUUACUGGGCGUAAAGCGCGCGUAGGCGGUUUUGUAAGUCGGGUGUGAAAGCCCCGGGCUCAACCUGGGAACUGCAUUCGAGACUGCAUUACUGGAGUAUGGGAGAGGGCAGUGGAAUUUCCGGUGUAGCGGUGAAAUGCGUAGAUAUCGGAAGGAACAUCAGUGGCGAAAGCGACUGCCUGGCCCAAUACUGACGCUCAUGUGCGAAAGCGUGGGGAGCA
rnacentral:rRNA from 1 species